GAUUAGAGUUUGAUUCCUGGCUCAGGACGAACGCUGGCGGCGUGCCUAAACAUGCAAGUCGAGCGAGCGGAACUAACAGAUUUACUUCGGAAUGACGUUAGGAAAGCGAGCGGCGGAUGGGGAGUAACACGUGGGGAACCUGCCCCAUAGUCUGGGAUACCACUUGGAAACAGGUGCUAAUACCGGAUAAGAAACAGAUCGCAUAUCAGCUUUUAAAAGGCGGCGUAACUGUCGCUAUGGGAUGGCCCCGCGGUGCAUUACUAGUUGGUAAGGUAAAGGCUUACCAAGGCGAUGAUGCAUAGCCGAGUUGAAGACUGAUCGGCCACAUUGGGACUGAGACACGGCCCAAACUCCUACGGGAGGCACAGGUAGGGAAUCUUCCACAAUGGCGCAAUCUGAUGAGCAAGCCGCUGAGAAGAAGUUUUCGAUCUAAACUCUGUGGGGAAAGUAGAGUAUAACCCCUUAUUUAC
rnacentral:rRNA from 1 species